rnacentral:tRNA from 5 species
GCGUCUAUGGUUAAGUGGCAUAACUACUGGCUUCCACCCAGUAAGCGCCAGUUCGAUUCUGGCUAGACGCUCCA